UACGAAGGGGGCUAGCGUUGCUCGGAAUCACUGGGCGUAAAGGGUGCGUAGGCGGGUCUUUAAGUCAGGGGUGAAAUCCUGGAGCUCAACUCCAGAACUGCCUUUGAUACUGAGGAUCUUGAGUUCGGGAGAGGUGAGUGGAACUGCGAGUGUAGAGGUGAAAUUCGUAGAUAUUCGCAAGAACACCAGUGGCGAAGGCGACUUACUGGACACAUACUGACGCUGAGGUGCGAAAGCGUGGGGAGCAAACAGG
rnacentral:rRNA from 1 species